UACGUAGGGGCUAGCGUUGUCCGGAUUUAUUGGGCGUAAAGAGCGUGUAGGCGGCCUAGGUAGGUCGGUUGUGAAGACUCGAGGCUCAACCUCGAGACGCUGACGUGGAAACCAUCUGCUAGAGUCCGGAAGAGGAGAGUGGAAUUCCUGGUGUAGCGUGAAUGACGCAGAUAUCAGGAGAACACCGUGGCGAAGGCGGCUCC
rnacentral:rRNA from 1 species